UGACUGGGGCGGUCUCCUCCUAAAGAGUAACGGAGGAGCACGAAGGUUAGCUAAUCCUGGUCGGACAUCAGGAGGUUAGUGCAAAGGCAUAAGCUAGCUUGACUGCGAGAGUGACGGCUCGAGCAGGUGCGAAAGCAGGUCUUAGUGAUCCGGUGGUUCUGAAUGGAAGGGCCAUCGCUCAACGGAUAAAAGGUACUCCGGGGAUAACAGGCUGAUACCGCCCAAGAGUUCAUAUCGACGGCGGUGUUUGGCACCUCGAUGUCGGCUCAUCACAUCCUGGGGCUGAAGUAGGUCCCAAGGGUAUGGCUGUUCGCCAUUUAAAGUGGUACGCGAGCUGGGUUUAGAACGUCGUGAGACAGUUCGGUCCCUAUCUGCCGUGGGCGCUGGAGAAUUGAGGGGGGCUGCUCCUAGUACGAGAGGACCGGAGUGGACGCAUCACUGGUGUUCGGGUUGUCAUGCCAAUGGCAUUGCCCGGUAGCUAAAUGCGGAAGAGAUAAGUGCUGAAAGCAUCUAAGCACGAAACUUGCCCCGAGAUGAGUUCUCCCUGA
rnacentral:rRNA from 1 species